AGGUUUUGGUCAUGGGGUUUUAAAGCUGAGAGUAACAGUGAGAGCUUUUGCAGAGAGGAAGACUGAGGGGAUGUUGCAGCAGUGGGCCAGGACUCAACUAAUUGAGGGAGAAGUAGAAGGUGAGCCACUUGGUUCUGCUGUCCUUACCCAGGCAAGAGCCAGACCCAGUGGAAGCACCAGCAGCAGGACAAUCCCCAGUCUCAAAGAAGAGAGAAAAUGUUUUCAAUACCUUGAUCUGUUUAUUUAUAACUUGCCAAAUCUUUGGCUGGAAGCAUCCCAAUCGCAUCUCACAGGAAAAUAAAAAGGUGGGGGGGAGGAGGGUGGAACAAAAAAAGGCAUAUUUGGAAUGCUAUAUUUGAAUUAAAGAG
rnacentral:lncRNA from 1 species